UACGAAGGGGGCUAGCGUUGCUCGGAAUCACUGGGCGUAAAGCGCACGUAGGCGGCUUGUUAAGUCAGGGGUGAAAUCCUGGAGCUCAACUCCAGAACUGCCUUUGAUACUGGCGAGCUUGAGUUCGGGAGAGGUGAGUGGAACUGCGAGUGUAGAGGUGAAAUUCGUAGAUAUUCGGAGGAACACCAGAAGCGAAGGCGGCUCACUGGCCCGAGACUGACGCUGAGGCACGAAAGCGUGGGGAGCAAACAGGG
rnacentral:rRNA from 1 species